UUGCUAAUAAGACUCUCUUGGGGCCUCUCAAAUAAAUCUUUCUUAAAUUUGAUCUGAAAUCAGGCGGGAUUACCCGCUGAACUUAAGCAUAUCAAUAAGCGGAGGAAAAGAAAAUAACAAUGAUUUCCCCAGUAACGGCGAGUGAAGAGGAAAGAGCUCAAAGUUGGAACCUGUUUGGCUUAGCUAAACCGGAUUGUAAACUGUAGAAGUGUUUUCCUGACACGCCUGGUAAAAAAGUCCUUUGGAACAGGGCAUCAUAGAGGGUGAGAAUCCCGUCUUUGGCCAGAGCUGUUGUCUUUUGUGAUACAUUUUCAAAGAGUCAGGUUGUUUGGGAAUGCAGCCUAAAUUGGGUGGUAAAUCUCACCUAAAGCUAAAUAUUUGCGAGAGACCGAUAGCGAACAAGUACCGUGAGGGAAAGAUGAAAAGAACUUUGAAAAGAGAGUUAAACAGUAUGUGAAAUUGUUAAAAGGGAACCGUUUGGAGCCAGACUGGCUUGACUGUAAUCAAUCUAGGCUUCGGCCUGGAUGCACUUGCGGUCUAUGCCUGCCAACGACAGUUUUAUUUGGGGGAAAAAAUUAUUGGGAAUGUGGCCUUUCGAGGUGUUAUAGCCCUUUAAAAAAUACCCUGGAUUGGACUGAGGAACGCAGUGAAUGCCUUUAGGCAAGAUUGCUGGGUGCUUUCGCUAAUAAAUGCUAGAAUUUCUGCUUCGGGUGGUGCUAGUGUUUAAAGGUGGAACUCGCUUA
rnacentral:rRNA from 1 species